rnacentral:rRNA from 1 species
AACGAACGCUGGCGGCAUGCCUAACACAUGCAAGUCGAACGAGACCUUCGGGUCUAGUGGCGCACGGGUGCGUAACGCGUGGGAACCUGCCCUUAGGUUCGGAAUAACUCCCCGAAAGGGGUGUUAAUACCGGAUAAUGUCUUCGGCCCAAAGAUUUAUCGCCUUUGGAUGGGCCCGCGUUGGAUUAGCUAGUUGGUAGGGUAAAAGCCUACCAAGGCGACGAUCCAUAGCUGGUCUGAGAGGAUGAUCAGCCACACUGGGACUGAGACACGGCCCCGACUCCUACGGGAGGCAGCAGUGGGGAAUAUUGGACAAGGGGCGAAAGCCUGAUCCAGCAAUGCCGCGUGAGUGAUGAAGGCCUUAGGGUUGUAAAGCUCUUUUACCCGGGAUGAUAAUGACAGUACCGGGAGAAUAAGCUCCGGCUAACUCCGUG